AUUGAACGCUGGCGGCAUGCUUUACACAUGCAAGUCGAACGGUAACAGCACUUCGGUGGCUGACGAGUGGCGAACGGGUGAGUAAUGUAUCGGAACGUGCCCAGUAGUGGGGGAUAACUACUCGAAAGAGUAGCUAAUACCGCAUGAGAUCUCUGGAUGAAAGCGGGGGACCGUAAGGCCUCGCGCUACUGGAGCGGCCGAUAUCAGAUUAGGUUGUUGGUGAGGUAAAGGCUCACCAAGCCGACGAUCUGUAGCUGGUCUGAGAGGACGACCAGCCACACUGGGACUGAGACACGGCCCAGACUCCUACGGGAGGCAGCAGUGGGGAAUUUUGGACAAUGGACGCAAGUCUGAUCCAGCAAUGCCGCGUGCAGGACGAAGGCC
rnacentral:rRNA from 1 species